rnacentral:rRNA from 1 species
AACGUAGGUACCGAGCGUUAUCCGGAUUUACUGGGCGUAAAGCGUGUGCAGGCGGUCGUGCAAGUCGGGCAUGAAAGCCCCUGGCUCAACUAGGGGAAGCUGUCUGAUACUGCGCGACUUGAGGGCUCGAGAGGGCGAUGGAAUUCCGCAUGUAGUGGUGAAAUGCGUAGAGAUGCGGAGGAACACCAGUGGCGAAAGCGGUCGCCUGGCGAGCCCCUGACGCUCAGACACGAAAGCUAGGGGAGCGGACGGG